rnacentral:lncRNA from 1 species
CUGUGCCUUUCGUCACAAAAUAAGAAAGCAUUCCAAGGGGAUGUCCUUCACUCUGAUGUGAGAUUUUCACCUCUGGAUGGAGGACCAGCCAAUGUCAUCCUCUUGUGCAAGGGAAUUAAUGCUCUUGCAAGACCACCUUCAAGUUGCAUUGCUGAGACAGACUGUUCUCUUGAGAAUAACCUCAUAACAUUCACAAAGUUCAGCCAUGAUGCUGACACUACAGAAGCCCACGUCAGACAGCAAGCUGAGACCUGUGUUGAUCCCAAAUUGACCAUCCAUGUGGAUACAAUGCUAGCUCUUGGGCAUACUUUGCUGCCUUCACAUCUGUUAUUACCUCCAACCUUUAUGCAGGUUGGAUGGCAGAAAAUAUGGGGCACGUACUGGGCUCGGACCUGCUCACAGGUCUCAGAAGGUGAUUAAAGAGCUGUUCUGCUUCACCAAUGAGCAGACACCAUCUUUGUUAUUGCUCCAGAUUCGCUCCCCAGUGACCCUCUUCCCCCCUCCAUCUCCAUUGACAGACAUCAAACUAGUCAGGAACUGCUGACAGCAUGGACUGGAAAACCUCUCCUCACUGUGAAGAUGCUCAUGGAAUCCUCAAGCAGUGCCUUGACAACAUGCUUAUCAAGAUCAAGCAGCUUUUAUUCACCUCCUUAGCAGACAAGGUGAAAAAAAAUGCAUCAGCUGAAGUCAUGGCCUGAGAGACCCCCCACACACUUGGUUGCAACAAAUGGUCUGCUACUAUCAGUCCAUUAGAGGAGCUCCUCCAUGACUGAACUGAGGUCUAUGUAGGCAGAAGAAAGAACUGAUAGCAGACACCUGGUUCAGCAGCUGAGGGCCGACUGAGCAUGCAUCAAAGCUAUGCCUAUGAGUCAAUCACCUUAUCCCAUUAACAGUGAGCAGCUCAAGAGCACCUUUUGUGUGGUAGUUGGCUUCAUGUCAGAAUCUUCCCUUGAAUAGGGAAUCUUCAAGUUAUACCUGCACAGAGAACCUUUAUAGUUUGAUGUCAAGAGACUCCUUACUAAUACAGAUCCUUGG